rnacentral:rRNA from 1 species
GACGAACGCUGGCGGAGUGCCUAAUACAUGCAAGUAGGACGCAGUUGCGAACGGGUGAGUAACGCGUAGGUAACUCCAUAUUAAAGGGGAGUAACUAUUGGAAACGAUAGCUAAUACCGCAUACUAGUAGAUGGACCUGCGUUGUAUUAGCUAGUAGGUAGGGUAAUGGCCUACCUAGGCAACGAUACAUAGCCGACCUGAGAGGGUGAUCGGCCACACGGUGACGGAGACACGGCCCAGACUCCCACGGGAGGCAGCAGUAGUGAAUCUUCGGCAAUGGGGGUAACCCUGACCGAGCAACGCCGCGUGAGUGAAGAAGGUUUUCGGAUCGUAAAGCUCUGUUGUUAAGGAAGCGGUACUUAACCAGAAAGGGACGGCUAACUACGUGCCAGCAGCCGCGGUAAUAC